rnacentral:rRNA from 1 species
UACGGAGGGUGCAAGCGUUAUCCGGAUUCACUGGGUUUAAAGGGUGCGUAGGUGGGCAGGUAAGUCAGUGGUGAAAUCUCCGGGCUUAACUCGGAAACUGCCAUUGAUACUAUCUGUCUUGAAUACCGUGGAGGUUAGCGGAAUAUGUCAUGUAGCGGUGAAAUGCUUAGAUAUGACAUAGAACACCAAUUGCGAAGGCAGCUGGCUACACGAAUAUUGACACUGAUGCACGAAAAGCGUGGGGAUCAAACAGGG